CAGGAAACCACCAAACCACCACUAAGAAACAAUGUAAAUGAGAAAAUAUAGCAAGCAAUAUUCCAAAAUAAGGAGUACAAUGCCUGCAAAACAUAAAGUAAUGCAUUUUUCCUCUGAUUGCUUCGUUACCUCAAGAAAGCAUUUGAGCAGGGAUUUUAUAAUAUCUUCUGACUGCAACCAUACCAAAACACCCGCCAACUUUACCAACCAUUCAGAAUGUAUUAUUUAGUUUUGAUGACAGCUGUAAACAAUUAAGUUAUGGAGCACUUUCCAGAGUCUUGUGCACUCCAGAUCAUCACUUAGUAUGACUACAUGGUAUGACUGAAAUGAUACAAUUCUGACAACACUGGAAGUUGCAUCUUGUCUGAAUACAACAUUUUCAGAGGACAUAAAAUACCCCACUGCACUUUAUCCUGUUUACUGGGGGGAAAUUACACUUUUGACAAAAGAGAAGAUGUCAUAACAAAACUAAUUAAAAACAACAUGUUGAUUAGGAAUAUAAAUAAAUUCAAAAUUCUCACUAAUUCUCACACAUUGACUAAGAUACUGGAAGAAUGAAUGACAUUGGAGAUUCUUUACUAUAGCAAACUUGGCUCACUUGCUGUGAGGGUGGGCUCGAUCAACAUUUUCCUUAUGUUUUCUGCAUAGAUUUGCUGAUUAAAAGCAUUUUUACAAAUGCAUGAUCAAUUUUCUUUUUACUAAUGCAUUACCAAUAUGGA